rnacentral:snoRNA from 10 species
AUGGAUGUGAGGACUAUUUCCCCAGAUGAUCGAAGGUGAUAUAACUGUGCUAAUAAAAUUUCUCCAUUCAUGGAGAAAUUCAAGCCAAUAUUCUGAUCCAU